GUCAGCAUGGCGUAGUGGUUUGAGCAUUGGACUACAACUCUAGAGACCAGGGUUCAAUUCCCACCUCCGCCA